rnacentral:lncRNA from 1 species
CGGGAAGCCAGUGCCAGCGUCACUCACAGGAGCUCUUCUCAGCAUAGGUCUUUAUCCUUAAGUGAGGCUGGUCCUCCUGGCUGCCUGUGCCAGGCCUGGGCAAGGAAAUACACUCCACCUCCCUUCCCCUGCUUCAAACAAUCUGGCAAAGGGGUACAGGUCACCCCAGCUUCUCCCCUAAACAAUCUGGGGUAGUGGGAAAGCAGCAGUCACAGAAGGUUGUGGUCUAGUUCUGGGAAGCUCUACUCUGAGCCUCGCUGGAGUUUUCUUAUCCAUGAACCUGGCCCAGCCCCCUCACCUCGGAGCAGACCCCGCUCCUGCAGGCUUUGUAAGGGCGGUCUCUUCGCGAUGAGCCGCUUUAGUUUGUUGCGCACGCGGUUCUGCUCGGUGCCUUCGGGCCCCCGAACUGCAGGAGGCAGGUAGAGCGGGGCGUGAGCGCCCGGGAGCCUCGCUGCGCUCCCGGACUCUCCCUCCCCAGCCCGCGCCUCACUGGAGCUCCGGCGGCUGCUGAGGCGCAGCAGCGGCUUGGACACCAGCUCCGACUCCUCUUCUUCGUCCUCCCCGGCGCUCAGCUCCGCGGGUCCAGAGCCCGACAGACGCAGCUCCAGGGGGUUCUCCCGAUCCUAGACCCGGGGCGGGCCGUGUCGAAGUCCGCAGCGCGCGGUGCCAGGCUCGCAGCUCUGUCUCGUGGUCCGACUGCAGCAGGAACUCGUGGCCAGGGAUCGUGCGGAUCUGAGGGCCAGGCAAGGAAACGCUCGGGUCAACGGGAAGGAGUAUAAUAAGCAGGGAGACCUAGCGGGAGGCCUGCGCGGGAGAUUGGGGGCGCCCUCGGGUCGGGUGGGGCCUUGGGGACGCGCGGGAGGGCGCUCACGUGCAGGACGUUGCGGCGGCUGGACAGGUGGCGGCCGUGCGCCAGGGCCGCCCCGCGCAGGUCCACGCUACUUUCGGGCCGGCUACCCGCUGGUCCCUGACAAUGAGGGAGGAAACUGAGGCCACGGUGUUGUUUCCUUCACUGCUUCCCUCUCCCCGGUGGGCUGUGAGGAGGUGGGAGGCUUCCUCACUUCUUUACUUUCCUCUGCACCGCCCUCCCCGCUGCCGCCCCCACAUUGGCGUGAGGCGGUAGGCAGCGCCCGCACCCAUCCUGCGCCUCUCGCUCACACUCACCCAGCCUGAGGAGGGCGCUGUCGGCGGUGGCUCUCGGUAGAACACCAGGCUGUUACCCGUUAACACCACCCAAGACGGGCCCCAGUUCUUCCUGCGGGGACAGAGAGGGGAGGUAGUGGUAGCGAACAGGUCAUUCUAGAAUGACACGAGGAGGGUGCUCUUCCAACACCCUGCUCUACCCUAUGGAGUUG